CUGGGGGGCAUGGAGCCGGAAGUGAGAGACCUGCCGCUGCAGUUCACCCGACGUCCCUGACAGGAGCAAGGGUGGGGGCACGCCAAUGACCUGUGACCUCCGAGUAAGAGAAGACACAGGAGCAGGCGGGAUGAUGACGCUGUGAGCAGAGGGAGGAAAAAUGUCUGCAGGAGAUAAAUAUGAAUCAGCAGAUCAUGUUCCUGCAGAAGCUUCGUUUUCCAGUGAUGAAGGACACAGUGAUGUGCUCACUGGACUCAAACUCUAAAAAUAAAACAACAAGGAGUCAGAAAAAACAACAGCUUGACAAGAAGAGGAGUUUAUUUAUCACACCUUUGCAAAAUAGGACACAAAGACUGAGCUCACAGCCUUCAGGGCUGUACAGGUCAUCAGCAGCAGUAAAGUCCACAUACACACACACACACACACACAUACAGUCACCUGCACACACUCUGCAGCCUUAGCUCACAUGGAUUUUUCACUACGUUAACAGAAGCACAGACAUGGUAUCGGCUCCUCAUCACUUGUUUCCCAUAAUGCCGUGGUGACGACGCAAACAGCACGCUGGAGGCAUUAAAUACAAGCACAAGGAAUUGGAUGAAAAGCAGUAAAAAAUAGGCCCAAAGCUUCCAGGAGAUAUGAGUAGUGACAGCAUGCACACACAUGCACCCCUUAAUGCUCAAACCUUUGUUUUAGCUGUUAGCAGUGAGUGCAUUUUAAGCCCAGACUUCAUGUUAAAAAACCUGGAAGAAGAUGUUUACACUGACCAUAAGAAACCCUAAAUGUUAAUGAAGAAAUUCACAGCAAAUGUUCGAUUUCAA